rnacentral:tRNA from 1 species
GUUUAAAUAGUUUAUUGAAAACGUUAAUUUGUGGAAUUAAAAAUAUGAAUUUUCAUUUUGAACA